rnacentral:rRNA from 1 species
GACGAACGCUGGCGGCGUGCUUAACACAUGCCAGUCGAACGCUGAAGCUCAGCUUGCUGGGUGGAUGAGUGGCGAACGGGUGAGUAACACGUGAGUAACCUGCCCUCUUCUUUGGGAUAACGCCCGGAAACGGGUGCUAAUACUGGAUAUUCACUGAUUCUCGCAUGGGGGUUGGUGGAAAGGUUUUUUCUGGUGGGGGAUGGGCUCGCGGCCUAUCAGCUUGUUGGUGGGGUGAUGGCCUACCAAGGCUUUGACGGGUAGCCGGCCUGAGAGGGUGACCGGUCACAUUGGGACUGAGAUACGGCCCAGACUCCUACGGGAGGCAGCAGUGGGGAAUAUUGCACAAUGGGCGAAAGCCUGAUGCAGCGACGCCGCGUGAGGGAUGGAGGCCUUCGGGGUGUAAACCUCUUUCGCUCAUGGUCAAGCCGCAGCUUGGGGUUGUGGUGAGGGUAGUGGGUAAAGAAGCGCCGGCUAACUACGUG